AAAGUUAAAACUUUCAACAACGGAUCUCUUGGCUCUAGCAUCGAUGAAUAACGGAGCGAAAAGCGAUAAGUAAUGUGAGUUGCAGAAUUCAGUGAAUCAUCGAAUCUUUGAACGCAUAUAGCGCCUGGUAGUAUUCUGCCAGGCAUGCCUGUCCGAGCGUCAUUUCACCACUCAAGGACUCCUU
rnacentral:rRNA from 1 species